rnacentral:rRNA from 1 species
GAUGAACGCUGGCGGCGUGCUUAACACAUGCAAGUCGAACGAUGAACCGGGUGCUUGCACUCGGGGAUUAGUGGCGAACGGGUGAGUAACACGUGAGCAACCUGCCCCUGACUCUGGGAUAAGCGCUGGAAACGGCGUCUAAUACUGGAUAUGUCCCGUCACCGCAUGGUGUGCGGGUGGAAAGAUUUUUCGGUUGGGGAUGGGCUCGCGGUCUAUCAGCUUGUUGGUGAGGUAAUGGCUCACCAGGGCGUCGACGGGUAGCCGGCCUGUGAGGGUGACCGGCCACACUGGGACUGAGACACGGCCCAGACUCCUACGGGAGGCAGCAGUAGGGAAUAUUGCACAAUGGGCGGAAGCCUGAUGCAGCAACGCCGCGUGAGGGAUGACGGCCUUCGGGUUGUAAACCUCUUUUAGCAGGGAAGAAGCGAGAGUGACGGUACCUGCAGAAAAAGCACCGGCUAACUACGUGCCAGCCGCCGCCGUAA